rnacentral:rRNA from 1 species
CCUACGGGAGGCAGCAGUGAGGAAUAUUGGUCAAUGGACGAGAGUCUGAACCAGCCAAGUAGCGUGAAGGAUGACUGCCCUAUGGGUUGUAAACUUCUUUUAUAUGGGAAUAAAAUGUUCCACGUGUGGGAUUUUGUAUGUACUAUAUGAAUAAGGAUCGGCUAACUCCGUGCCAGCAGCCGCGGUAAUACGGAGGAUCCGAGCGUUAUCCGGAUUUAUUGGGUUUAAAGGGAGCGUAGGUGGAUUGUUAAGUCAGUUGUGAAAGUUUGCGGCUCAACCGUAAAAUUGCAGUUGAAACUGGCAGUCUUGAGUACAGUAGAGGUGGGCGGAAUUCGUGGUGUAGUGGUGAAAUGCUUAGUUAUCACGAAGAACUCCGAUUGCGAAGGCAGUUCACUGGACUGCAACUGACACUGAGGCUCGAAAGUGUGGGUAUCAAACAGGAUUAGAUACCCGUGUAGUC